GGGGUUGUGGCUCAGCGGUAGAGUGCACUCCUAGCACAAGCAAGGCCCUGGGUUCAAUCCUCAGCACCACA
rnacentral:tRNA from 1 species